rnacentral:lncRNA from 1 species
AUAGGAUUGCCAAUUGGGCAUUGACAGUCCGUCAAGAUCGGUACGUGCUAUGUCUUCUCUCAGGGAGAGUGAUUAGUCUCGAGUCAUUGGUGUGUGUGACAUCAAGACAAGUACGUAGGUGCUCAGUAGAGAAUGAGUUCACUGAACGCGAUUAACGAAGAGUUCUCAUACUCAUGUCACAUGAGAACUCAUGGUUGGGAUAAUGCAAAGUAGUCCUUUGACCUGAGGCAUCACAGUUGUCUUGUGGUUAAGUCCUUAAUCUUUGAUUAUGUCAAAGUCACCCUAUCGGGGUGUCCACGGCAUCGUUGGGGUUAAGCCACUUAGUCAUGGAGGCAAGUGAAUGCGCAACAAGGGAUCUCUAACCUUCAAAUUGUUUGAGGGAGAAUACUCUAUGAUAUGAUUCAGAAUCUCUGGCCAGAGUAUGAAUGAGAUUUAGGAAUGCAUUUCAAAUCACAUUCAAGGUAAUCAUAUAAGCACACGAAUCACAUUGGAUAGUAGACAUGAAUAAAUAAACUAUCAAACCAAACAAUGUGGUCAAGAGUAUUAGAUUAGAGAAAGACCGUAUUGCAUUUGUAAUCCCAAACUGAAUAGGUUUUCUCUACCUCUUCUGAUUAGCUUGGGUAACCAUGAUAUGCUGCAAGGUGUCACUCAUGGUUUGUGGAAGCCUUAUACGUGUGUAAUCACUAAAGGGAGAAUUGAAAGUAAGUUUCAAUUCACAAUCGAUUUGAAAUGGUUUUAAUCGCCCACUGCCUCGCUAAAAGGAACCUAAUGGAUCGCACACCAUAAGAGGUGGAGAUUGGAGAUUAAACGGAGAUGAGUAAGAAUGAUUAAAUGGUUUAAUCAUUUAUUUAUGGCAAGGAUUAAUUAAUAUGUUAAUUAAUCAAACGAAUAAGUUCGUUAAAGACCUCGGGAUAGUUUUUGGACAUUAAGGCCCAAUGGGCUUCGAACGUCAAGCCCAUUGACUUAAGUUGUAUGACAACUUAAUGAAUAAUGAUUCACAAAGGCCUAAUUAGCCCAAAAAUACCCUAGGGCCGGCCAUGAUGCUAAGGGUAGUGAACUUGGACUUAUUUACAAGUUUGCCACUCAAAUGAAUAAAGGUAUAAAUAUGACUUUAUAGCCUAAAAUUCAUUAGGGUUUGUUUUGGAGAAAAUUGGAGAGAACAUGUCUCUCCAUUUCUCUCUAAAGAGGCCGGCCACCUUGGGGGGGUGCUUCUUGCAAUCCCACUACUCCAAGGUCACUCAUUUCUUCUCCAAUCUCUCCUUGGUGAAGAGACUUAGAGGUUCCCUAUUUUGGGAACUUGGAGAAACCUAUUCAUCUAUCCAUAUCCAUAGAUUUAAUAUGCAAGGAAUGAAGGCCCCCCUCUUUGGGUGAUUAGCCUUUGCUUAUGCAAAGAGGAAUCUACAAAGGAAUAAAUUUCAACUCACUUUGUUUUGAGUUGAUUAAUGGUUCACCAAUCUACUAGGCUUUGAAUUUCUUGGUUAAUGUUUUGUUUUUAAGUGCAUGCUAGCAUGAUUCCGCCUUUAAUUGUUAAUUGCAUGCUAUAUGAUGUUGCUUAAAUGAACAUGUUUUCACAAAAAUAUUCCUUCAAGUGGUAUCAGAGCCUAGGUCUAGUAGUUGGUGAAUCCUUUUGGGUUUUGUAGUUCAUAGUUUGUGAUUUAAAAGUUGUAAUAUGUUACAAGCUUUAUUCUUGUUUCUUUGAAUGUAAAUUUUGUUAGAAAAUUUGCCAUCUCAAAUGUUAUAGAUGUAGUUCAUAUGAGCAUGAAUAUUGGAGCUAAAAUUUGGUGCCAUGACUUUGGGGAUUUUCGGCCAAAUCCAAAGGGUGGAUUUUUGGGUUCUUGUUUGACUUGUUAAAAGUGUUUUCAAGUGACUUUUGGAACCCCUAUGUACCCUAGUUUGGUUAGAUGUUAUUUCCCUAAAGUUUGAAUGGUUUUGGAAUGUUUUUGGGUGAAAAAUGUUCAUGGAAAAUUUUGAGUUUUUUUUUUCAUGAGUGUUCUUCAUUGUUCUUGACAUUUUUGCCAAGAACAAAAAGGUUUGUGUUUUGAUUCAAAGUUUUGAUUUAUUUCAUAAAGUUUAUGUUUUAUGUUUUUCAAAUGUUUUAAUGCAUUAGACAUUUGUAUGAAAGGUGAUGGAAAUGGUGAUGGGUGUGUAAGGAUUAAUUCCCUUUCACACACACCACUUGCACCACUUGCAUGCUUUAUGUCAAAACUCACAAAUCAACACACACAUCACUCUAUCCUCUUCCAAAACCGGCCACCCCCUAGUGGGGGUACUUUUGGGUCUUUUAUGCAAUUACAUAAAGUUUUGAUACUUUUGUGUAUUUGCACUUUGGCCCAAAAGUUUACGUUUUUACGUUUAGGUCCAAAAACGCUAAAGGACAAAUUGUUUUGCUCCUUUAAUGAAGUUUUUGCAUUGAUUAAAUUUUGGGUUCUAUUGUAAUUACAUGAAGUAGUGGACUUUUGUGUCUUUACAAAGUGACCCCAAAAGUUUUGCAAUAUAGCCCAAAAGUUGAGGUUAAUUGCUUUAUGGCCCAAAAGUUGUGGUUAUUGCAUAUUGGCCCAAAUAAGGUAGAGAACAAAAUUGUUUUGUCUCUUUAAAUGAGAAUUGGAUUUUCAUUUUGUUUUAGCUCCAUUUAAAUCAAUUUUAUGGAUACAAAAACCAAAUGAAAAUGUUGCAUUCAAUUUAAUUAGUUAAAGUGUUAAUUAAUUAAAGGGUGAUUAUGAACCUAAGCCUAAUAUAAUUGAGCUAUGUGAAAGGCCGUUUCAAAUUUGUUUGAACCAUGGGAAUGUGUAGAUUAAUUUUGGUUGUAAUUUGAUUUGAUCAAAUGUUGUAAAAGGGCUUAAGCUCUUCUUUACUUUAAAGUAAUUUGUUUUAUGCAAAUGUUGUAAUGAGCAUAAGCUCACCUUUACUUUGAAGUACUUCUUUCUUGCUUUAUAUGAUAUGCAUGAAAAUGAAGUAGUUGGGUCCAACGCCCCUAAGACAACACGCCUUAAUGUGAUUAAACGCGUAACUAAAAUCAAUCACCAUUCCUAGACCGAGAUUCAACACAAGGCUCGUGUUGAAUCUAAACAAAGGUUCAUAAUCAUCCUAAGGCCCUAAGGCAACUAUAUAGUCCAUCAAAUGAAUGCAAAGGUUAUGUUAGUAGUAUCAUAUACUCUUGCUUUAAAAACCGUUUUAUAAGCAUAGUGGGAGUAUUAUAUACAACUAAAAACAAUCAUAUGGACCAAUAGUUGUAAUAGGACCAAAGUUGUUUUAAUAGAGAUUAAAUAUAUGUUUAUGUGAUGAGACCUAAAACCCUCAACCAAACCAUUAUUAAGUUGAUAAGCGUGAGAGUGCUUAGAACACUCUUUCGUAGGCCUUCCACCGUGGUGGGAUCCAAUCGUUUAUGACUUGUACACCGGCUUCACCCUAUCAUGGGGGAGUACAAAGUGCAUGCUUAUACUCAGGAGGAAUCCAUACACAUAUGAUGAGGUGAGUGUAGGCAACGAGGAUGGCCGACAUCGUAUCAUCGUGAGGCUAUUCUUGAACCCCUUCACGCACUAAGCAUGGUGGGAAUGACUUAACUAAGUGCAAUGGAGCCAAUAUCAUAUCAUUGUGAGGUUACAUUCUCUAGAGGCCAAAUAAGAUGGGUACUUGCAUUAGUUGCAAAUGAGUAAGCGUACUCUCUCAUUAUUAUUAAUGCUAGCCAAUAUCAUAUCAUUGUGAGAUGGGCUUGGUAAUAGUGAGCCUCCCAUAACCUACUAGGAGUUUCAUCCAAAACUCUCGAAUUCCAAUGAGGGAUAUGGAAUUUGCCAAAAAUAGUGGGUGGUGCUAUUUGAUUUAAAGACCCGAAUCAAAUGGCUUAAAAUCAAUCCAUUUAUAUUCGUUAUGUAUUUGUUUACCAAUAUAUUUGCAAACGCUAUCCAAACACUUGACAAAUAAAACCGAAUGUUUUAGUUUCCGGACUUAGUACCACAAUCCCAAAGAAUGUCUUAUAAAGAUUGCAUAUGUAUCUAAGUAGUCUCAUCCUCACAAUCUUCCUAAUGAUAAUGUAUCAUUGGAAGAACAUGUUAGAAAAGUCUAUCAUGAAGAGGACAACACAAACAACCAAUGCUUAAUCCUUUGUUAAAUGAACAAAGGAACUUACGAAGAUUAGCAUAAUGACAAGGACACUUUUAGUGUUAUUAGUUCUUCACUUACAAAUCGUUGUAUGAAGAAAUAAUAGUUGCUUUGAACAACCCUUAGUCAAUGCAAACACUAGUGCUUGUUUCUUUGUUAAUGAACAAGGAACUUGAGAAGAAAGCACAAAGGCAUGGACACUUUAUGUGCCAUGAUUCUUCACUUACAAAUUGUUGUAUGAAGAAAUGAGAGUUGCCUUGUACAACUCUUGAAAGUUUGUAAUUAUGUUUAGAACAUAAUGGUUGGUUGACAAAAAUAGUCCAUUAACAUGGACUUAUGAUGAUUUUGAAUCAUUGAGUGUUGAAGUGAUAAACCACUUAAUGAGACGGAAACUAGGCAAGGACUUCACUUUUGUGUCCCUAUCCUUAUGGUUCACUAAGUUUAUUGUAAACUAUAUAGUGAACAAUAACCACAUGCUCUCCAAAAUGUUUGAUGUGUAUAACACAAUUGAAAUAAGUUUCAAGAGAGAUAGUGGGAUUUAGGGACCAUGACUAUUGUAGUCAAAGGAGAAGUCAAAUGAAGAAGAUUAAAAUUAACUCCUAGGGAACAAACUUUCUUUAUGAAAGGAUGGACAUUGGAAAGGGUAUUUGCAAGAAAUGUCUUGCAAGUGUCAAGAACACACCUUUCGAAGGUGUUGUAAAUUGUUCUUGAAAAGUUCAAAACAGUUGGUUCUUCUACUUGAAUGCUUGAUUACGUAUUAGUAACUAUGUUUUACAAUCGUUGUAAAAGUGUGGCUAAUAAGAAGUGGAAGAUUAAUGAGAGAAGAGAAAGUACUUCACAUUCGAAACGUGAAUCAAAUAUAGAUCUCUACGAAAGCAGAUGGUACUUACUUCCUCAUAUGAACUACCAAAGAAAUUGGAAAACAUAGAUUGUCUUUAUAUUCCAAUUUUAAGGAACUAAAUUCCGUCACUAUAGUAGAGAUGGAUGAAUGUUUUGUUUGACAAAACGUUUGUUCUUUAUUAAUCAAUGAUUGGAUUAUAGUAAUCUAAUUGAUUGUCUCUAUAGUAGAGAUGAUAUGGUAGUGUUAACUGUUUAGAAAAUAAUGAUGCUUAAAACCCAAAAGGUUGCAAGGUAGUGACUAAUCCCAACUAAAGUUGUGAUACCUCUAAAACAUAAAUUACGAGUUGGUCAUAGAUGGACGCUUUGGAUCGUUAGAUCCGGAUCCAAUACCUUCUUGUUAAAAUUGUAUAGAGGCGAAAUGUUCGAAUCUUUAUUCUUUUGGAAAGAAGAAAGAAUCACAAAGUUGUUGAGGUUAAUUCACUUAGAUGUUAGUGGCACUUGUCCACAACAUAAUACUACUCAUGUUGGAUGACAUUCACCGAAGAUCACUCUCGGUUGGACUAUAGUUUAUUUUGAAUAAACACAAGUUCGCAUACUUUGCAAAAGGUUUCAAAGAAUUCAAGAAAUGUAAGUUGAUGAGUAAGACGUCUAAAGUAUUUACCUCCUUAGAUUUGAUCCAAGAUAAGGUAACACUUUAGAACAGUUUCCUUGAAAGAUAUCAAGGAAAUAAGCAUCAUAAGAUAAUGUAUUUCUCCAUUAGGAGAAGAACGAACUCGAAUAAGAUUUAGUUCGUUAGAUGUUAUCUGUUACCCAUAUAUAGGAUAUAUACUUCUAAAACAAUAUGAUUGUAAAUUAGAAGAUCUUCCAAUAUUUUCAUGACUCCAUAAGAUGUAGUUGGAAAGAAAGACAAAUCUCAAGCAUGUUAAGAUUUGGGGUUGUGUGCUAAUAAGCAAUAUUUGUUUGAUAAACAAUCUUGUAGGAUAUCCUUAAAUUAACUUUUGGAUAUCGCUUCUAUAAACCAACUAACAAAUGUUGUUUUGUUGGGUAGUUCAUUGUAAUCCUACAAUGUGAUUUGCCUAAGAGCAAAUGAACGAGAGAUAGAACUCAAAGAAUAGGUUCUUUGAGAGACAAGAUAGUAAUCAACAAAUAUAACAACCUAGUUCCUAUACCACAAGCUCCAAGGUAGUCGAGAAGGAUUUAUAAACCGUCUCAGUUGAAUGGUUUGAACUUUAUGACUAUGUCAUAGAGUUGCACCUCUUAAUUCGAAAGAAAUAAGAAUGAAAAUCCUUAUGACUACAUUGAGUGUAUAUAUGAUAUAUACUCAAGGAAAUGGUAAAGUACCAUUUGACUCGAAAUAAUGAAACCUUCAUAGCUAAUUGGUAGCUUAAGGUGACUACAAUCAAAGAGAUUGGUUGACUUUGAAGGAACCAAUUUUGACGUAGUCUUAGUUUCAAUUAAUUCGAAGAAUGCUAGCUACAACUAAAUGGUGAUUCAAUGUUUGGACAUAAUUUGGGUUUUUCGAAACCAUUAUUAAGAUAGUCUUGAUAAUAUAUGUCUAAAACUAUGAAUCACAAGAAUUGUAAGUUGUAGAGAUCCAUCCAUCAUGGAUCUUAGCUAGCUAGUGGGAGCUAUAAGCGUCUUAUGAGAGAAAGGUCAAAUCGUUUGCUUUCUCAUAAAGAUGUAAAUGAAUCUUUUGUUUACUAGGUUUACAAAAGAUUAGUGGGAGUUAAUCAUAUUCCUAAAUUUAUAUAUAUAUAUAUAAAUAUAUAUGUGAUAUAUAUGAAUGUAUAUAUGAUAUAUUAAUUUUGGAAAUGAAAAGAAUAUUUCUUCGUUAAAGUUAUGACUUUAAGCAUUCUAUAACGAUAUAAUGUAUAUGGGAGACAUAGUCUAUAAACAUGGGAUGGAAAUCUAUAAUGAUAGAUUUUAGGAUAUAAUUGGAUUAUAUCAAGCCCUAAAUAAUAGACAAGAGUUGCUAGGAAGUUUCUCAUAUGAUGAUAAACUUCAAUUAGAAGGAUGACUCUAGUGUGACUAGCAAGUUGCCCUUCUCAAAGGGAACGUACCCUUUGACUCCCAAAGAAAUAAUGCGUAAAUAGAAUCCUUUAUGCAUACGCAUAAAGGUGAUUUAUGUAUUUCAUAUUGUAUGAAAAACAUUGAUAUGAGUUGUACCUAGAACGGUACAAGACGAUAUCAGUGCAAGCCCAGGAUCAGAACCAUGGCAACUGUCAAGUGAGUCCUUAAGUAUUUAAGAAAUACUAAAGGAAAGAUUCCUCAAAGAAUGAGGAAGAAUUAGAGUAACGUAAUGGAAGCGUAAAUGUAUUAGAUUAUGAAUCUAAUCCAUCAUUGGAUGUUUCUUCAUUAUGAAUGAAGAGAUAAACAGAUAUCUCUUUAUUAUGACUAAAGAGAUAUUUGGAUGGAAACAUUAAAGUAAUGACUUUAGUGUGUUCCAUUAUGAAUGCAAGGUAUAUUGCCAUAUAGAAGUUUGCAACAAUGUUGUUUGGAUGGGAAAGUUCAUUUAUGAACUCUCUAUUCGGUUCCAACCAGAAAGUGUAUCUAGUGUAUCGACACUAUGACACUAAUGGGGCGAUAGCUCAAGCCAGGGAAUCAAGGUCUCAUCAAGGUCCGAACUCAAAUGAGAGACUGAACCACAUGAUUGAGAAUCAUGUAUAAUGGUGACGUCGAUAUUCUCAAGGUUGCUUCUAUGGAUAACAUAUAGAUAUCCAUUGUCUAGGCCUACUACUCAGCCAUUUAUGAAAUGACUACAGAAGAGGUAUCAUCACUGAUGACCAAGCUGAUUGGCUCUAGUGCAAGUGGGAGAUUGUUGGAAAUGUGCCCUAAAACCAAUCAUGUGAUGAUACUUUACGGACAUUUCACAUGUUAAACUAAUCUAGUUUAAUAUAAAGGGCAAAGAUUAUUGUUUGAGCCGUCUCAUAUAAAUGUUAUAUGCUUAAACGAUAAAGUCCAAGGAAUAUGUGAUUGGGAGAAUGCAAUCUAAUGAAGUUAGAUUCAUGAGACCAUUCUUUCGUAGACACAUCCUAAAUGUUCCUGAUCAUAGGAUUGCCAAUUGGGCAUUGACAGUCCGUCAAGAUCGGUACGUGCUAUGUCUUCUCUCAGGGAGAGUGAUUAGUCUCGAGUCAUUGGUGUGUGUGACAUCAAGACAAGUACGUAGGUGCUCAGUAGAGAAUGAGUUCACUGAACGCGAUUAACGAAGAGUUCUCAUACUCAUGUCACAUGAGAACUCAUGGUUGGGAUAAUGCAAAGUAGUCCUUUGACCUGAGGCAUCACAGUUGUCUUGUGGUUAAGUCCUUAAUCUUUGAUUAUGUCAAAGUCACCCU